UAACAGUUUACCAACAAUCCUAACAACCUUUGCUGAUGUGUAAGCCACCUGUCCAACUUUGUUGCUAUAUUACUAGCUGAUGUGUAUUGCUGAUGUGUAUAUCUCUGUCAACAUCCCCCCUCAAUCUCAGCUGAGUUUCCAAGCUUGAGAUUGUAGGAAUGUUUAAGAAAUGAAGGACUAUGUAAUCCCUUAGUUAAAAUAUCAGCAGUUUGAUCAUCUGUAGACAAAUAUUGGACUUGAAGAUCACCCUUUUGAACCCUCUCCCGAACAAAGUGAUAGUCGGUGUCCAGGUGCUUAAUCCUGGAGUGAAACAUCGGAUUUGCACUCAAAGCAAUAGCAGACUUAUUAUCACAGUAUAUCACAAGUGGAAAAGGUAUCACCACAGCCAUGUCUUUCAAAAUGUUUCUAAUCCAUGCUACAUCAGCUGCAAUGUGAGCUAAUGCUUUAUACUCAGCUUCUGUAGAGCUUCUUGAAACUGAAUUCUGCUUAUUCGAUUGCCAUGAGAUUGGAUUGUUUCCAAUGUAAACCACAUACCCCGUGACUGACCUUCUGGUGUUAAAAUCUGCAGCCCAAUCCGAAUCACUAAAUGCAGUAAUUCCCACUUCUGUAUCGGCUGAGAAUGUCACACCAUUUUGCAUAGUUCCUUUGAGAAACCUUAAAAUCCUUUUAAAUGCCCCAAAAUGCACUUCUGUGGGAGCAGCCAUGAAUUGACACAUAAAAUUGACUGCAUAUGCAAUAUCUGGCCUUGUAAAGGUUAAAUAUUGUAAGGAGCCAACAAUGCUGCGAUACAAGCUUGGAUCAGUUAACAAAGUACCUUCAGUAACCAAUAAAGGAUCAUACGGCUUGCAUGGUGUAGAUGCUGGUUUGCAGGACUCCAUACCAGCUUUAUGUAACAAGUCCUUUAUGUACUUGGAUUGAUUUACACAGAUAUCUCCAUUCGAUUUGUAGUUAACUUGCAGACCAAGAAAAUAAGUGAGCUUUCCCAUAUCUUUAAGCUCAAAAACUUCAGAUAACUAUGUUAUAACAUUUUGUACCUUGCAAGAAUUAGAUCCAGUAAGUAUAAUGUCAUCGACAUACAACAAUAGAAUGAUAACAUCCCCAUCACUAUGCUUAACAAACAAACUUGAAUCAGAAGCAGAUGCUUUAAACCCCAUUGUAGGUAAGUAACUUGUAAACUUCGAAUUCCAAGCUCUUGGAGCUUGCUUAAGACCAUACAAAGACUUCACCAACUUGCAUACAUAAGAUGGCUUGGCUAUAUCCAUAAAUCCAUGAGGUUGUUUCAUGUAAAUCUCCUCUUGUAACUCACCAUGCAAAAAAAGCAUUUUUGAUGUCUAGCUGCCUUAAUUCCUAACGAUUAAUUGCAGCCAAUGCUAGUAAUAUUCUCACGGUUGUGUGUCUCACAACAGGACUAAAAGUUUCUGAGUAAUCCACACCUUGUUCUUGUGAAAACCCUCGUGCAACCAACCAAGCUUUAUACUUGAUAUAGACUCAUCAGGAUUCUUUUUGAGUUUAUAUACCCAUUUGCUGCCAAUAAUGGACCUCUCAUCUGGAGGUGGUACUAGUUCCUAAGUUCCUUGAGCCUGAAGAGAGUCAUACUCAAAUUGCAUUGCACGUUGCCAUUGUGGUAUAGUAGCAGCCUUUCUGAAGGUUGUUGGUUCUGCAGAAUCAUUGGUACUCACAAGGAAAGAAAAUCCCCCACCAAAGAAUGUAUCUUCAGUUAGUUGGAGUGACUGUAGUUCAGGUAAUGUAGCCAAAUACCCUUUGUAACUCUUCUUUGGAAAUGCCUCACUCUUCAGUCUAGUAAGCAUUGGGUGUGUAGAUGCAACUCUAAAAUCAUCAGAGUCAGAUAAUAUAGGAGAUGAGAUUGGAAGAAUUACCUCAAGUUAUGUAUCAUUAUGGACAGGCAACAUGUGUGAUCUACCAGGAGGUGUAGGAGUGAUGGGAUGGGGAUCUUGAGUUGAUGAUGUAUCCUGUGACAGUGAUAAGUCUUAUGUACCUGAUGCUGAUACAAUUGAACUUGACCUCGUUCCAGAAUUAUCAUUAGUAUUAGAAAUAGACACACCAUGAACCACAUCAUGCUCAUAACUACUAGUAUUGUCCCUCUGAGGAACCUGAGGUACUGUAACUGUUGGUAAAGGAACCUGAAUGACAAUAGGCCUGCGAAUAGAAGACUGCAGUUGUUGAUCUCUAUUAAUACUGGAAUUUGAAUGAAUUUUGCAGGGAAAAGUCGAUUCAUCAUGAAUCACAUGUCUUGACAGAAUUAUUUUCCUAGUUGCAACAUUAUAACAUAUAACUCCCCUUGUAUCCAAUAACAUACCCUGCACAUAUCUUGCUUGCAACUUAUUCGAAUUGUAAGGCCUAAGAAAAGGAUAUACUGCAGUCCCAAAAACUUUUAAAUUAUGAAUCUCAGGAACUUUGUCAAACAGAACUUGAUAUGGUGACUUCAUUUCCAGUACCUUACUUGGCAUUCUAUUAAUUAAGAAAGUUGCAUAAGAACAAGCAUGAACCCAAAAUGAAGCAGACAAAUUUGCUUCAGACAUUAGAGUAAGUAUUGUCUCUAUACACGAAAUUCUAUGAACAAUCCCCUUAGAUUCCAGAAAAUCAAUAAAAAACUUUACUCAUGUACUCUCAUCCUCCAUCAGUUUGUAAACAUUUAAUGGAAGUAUUGAACUGGUUAAGCACAACCGCAUGAAAUUUCACAAAUGCAUUCACUGCUUCAGAUUUAUUAAUCAGAGGAAAAAUCCACAGAAACCUUGAAUAUUCAUCAAUGAAGCUAAUGUAAUACCUAUAUCCUUCAAUUGACAGUUUUGGAGAAGGUCCCCAUACAUCUAAAUGUACUCUUUCAAACAUAAGACUUGCACUACUAUGUUUUACAGGAAAUGAUUGCCUACACAUUUUGCUUGAAAUACAUGAUGAACAUACUGACUCUGAAGAAUCUAUGGUAACUGGUACUUUAGCUGACUUUAACAUAGCUUUUAGUAUCUCUUCAGAGGGAUGACCCAAUCUCUUGUGCCAAAUUGCAGUCUUUACCAUUUUUCCCAGAAAACCAGCUCUUAACUCCUUUGCUACUCCAUCCCUUGAAUUUGAUCUUGAAAACAAUGUCACAGGUAUGGUAAAGAGCUCCCCAUCACUCUUUCCUUGGUAGAUAAUCACAUUGGUUACCUUGUCCUGUAUGAAAAACACACAAUCAUCACAAAUAAACCAACAUCCAUUAUCAUGGCACAAUUUCUUCACUGAUAAAAGAUUGACAGUAAUAUUGGGAACAUGUUAAACAUUUUUCAAGUAUAAGAAAGUUGCUGGAGUAAGUAAUGUGGUUGAACCAAUAUGCUUCACAUCCAAAACUUGACCAUUCCCUAUGAUUAUCUUUUCUUCUCCAUUAUAAGCUGAGACUUGAUUAAGAGUAUUGACAUUGGCUGUCAUGUGAUAUGUGGCACCAGUGUCCAACACCCAUGUAUCAGCAGCCAAAAACCCAUGUGGUUGUGAGUCAUUUCUUUGUUGAGAAAGAUCAUGUGAACCUUGAGCAGACAUAGCAGUGAUUGUUGAUGGUGGUAGUGCUCCCUGAUAAGCAUAGUUAUUCCUAUGAUAGCAGUCCAAAGCAAUAUGGCCUUUCUUUUCACAUAUCUGACACGCCAAGAGCUGAUAUUGACUGACAUUUGAACCAUUAGUACUUCUAAAAUGACAAUUGGGAGCAGUAUGUCCUAUUCGAGAGCAAAUCUAGCAUUCAUGUGUGAUAGAAGAUCUGUAGUUUGUAUUACCAUUCCAACUCUGCCAAGUAGACCCACUUUUAGAACCACCAUUUGAAGACUGUCCAUUAAAACCAGAUUGUGAUCCCUUGCCUUAAUCAACAGAAAAACCACUAUUGCCCUUGUAUUUGUUAUCGAAGUAUGGUUUAGGAUUCCUAUUUGAGUUGAAUGUCCCACUAUUAUUUUGAGAAUUGAAGGGUCUUUGAUUGUUCCCAAUGAAUCCAUAGCCUCCCUGAUAGUUGUUUGUUGCACCCAUAACAGAGCUUUCACCCUGAUAAGUGCCAUUUCCUUGAUAUGUACCAGUGCCAAACCCUCAUUGAUAGCUAUUUGAUCCCAUGUUAGAACUUUCACCCUGAUACAUUCCAUUGAAGCCAUUGGAUCUGUUACCAUUCACAUACAUUGCAGACAUUGUACUUGUGAGAGAUAUAAUCCUGGACUCAAUAGUUAACUCGGCACUAAGUAGUUGAGCCCUGAAAUCCUUUAAAGACAUAGGACUUUCCCUUGCCAAUAUCACUGUCUUAAUCAUAUCAAACUCUUGUGGCAAACCAGAUAGUGUAGCAAUAAUAAGAUCAUUUUCUAACACCCUUUCACCUGCAGAGAUUAACUGAUCUCUUAUAGCCUUCAAUCUCAGUAAAAACUUGUCAACAGAAUCACCUCAUUUUUUAGCAGUAUGAAAUUCAGUUUUUAACUAAUUCAUUCGUGACAUUGAGACAGUAGCAAAUCAAUCUUGCAAUGCACUCCAUGCUUCCCGUGAUGUUUUACACCCAAUCACAUGCUCCAUGGCAUCUUCAGAUAACGUAGCAAUUAACAAACUAAGUAAAGCCAUAUACUUUUUCACCCAAUUCUUGUAUGCAGUUGUGAUCUCAUUGGUAACUCCAGUUUCAGAAUGAAUUAAAAAUUUUGGUGGACAUGGAUUAUCACCAGUAAAGAAAUCAAACAAAUCAUAUUCACGUAGAACUGAUUGAAAUUGGAAACUCCAUUUAACAAUGUUAUCAUCUUGUAAUUUCACCGUUAGCAUUCCUAGAAGUCCUUCAAUCUUCACAUAUUCCACUGUAUUCUCAGACAUUAUGCUUACUACAACCAAAUUCUUCUUCGUCCACAAUCAAGAAAGUUCAAUAGAAACCUCCACAAUCAGAGUCAAGAUUACACAACAACAAGACUCCUUCGAAAAACAGCCUUCAACACACCAAGAUUCAAUCAAGAAACAAAAAACCCUCUUCAGCAAUCGGCCUUUAAAGAAGAGAAAUGACUAAACAACAAUAUGGCAAUCGGCCUUCAACAAUAUUUCAUACUCUGGCAAUCGGCCUUUAACGGAGUAAUAAGCAAAUAUCAAUCAACCAAGAAUGACAAUCACCUUAUAAUUCUUCAGAAUUUCGAACAAAUAAUGGCAAUCGGCCUUAUAAGCAAACAAUUCAUCAAUCCAGAAAGAAAUACUCACUGACACAUAUUAUCAAACAGCGGAGUGCACAGACCUUUUCUCUGUUGAAACCCCAUGAUUCGAUCACCAAGAAACUGCAUCAAGAGCAGCAAACCCUCCAAACAGACAGAAGAACCACAAAUCACACAGCGAAAAACAAACGAAAAAUCACCAUGGAUCGACCUCCGGCGAUAAUACCAUAUUAACACUACACUCAGUAUCGAAGAAGAAGAAAAGCAAAGAAGAAAUAUUGCAGAAGAAUGUAGAGAGAAAGAGAGAGAGAGAGAGUGAAUGAUCUUUUGUAUUGAAUGAAUUAAUAUGCGAUUACAAGGAUUUCUGUUAUAUAGGCAACAGCCUUAGCUUCACAGAUAAGCAACUAAUAGUACAACUAACUUUCUUAUCCUUUAUAACAGUUUACCAACAAUCCUAACAACCUUUGCUGAUGUGUAAGCCACCUGUCAAACUUUGCUGCUAUAUUACUAGCUGAUGUGUAUAUCUCUGUCAACAGGUUAAACAAGUGAAAACCCCAAAAUGAAAGAACAGAAAGCCAAUGAUUUGUUCAAAAUGAUUUACUAUAUAUGUUUGUCAGUCAACAUAGUCCAUGUUUGU
rnacentral:lncRNA from 1 species